GGGGGUAUAGCUCAGUCUUAGAUCACAUGCUUAGCAUGCAUGAGGUCCUGGGUUCAAUCCCCAGUACCUCCA
rnacentral:tRNA from 1 species